ACAAUGGAGAGUUUGAUCCUGGCUCAGGAUGAACGCUAGCGGGAGGCCUAACACAUGCAAGCCGAGCGGUAGAGAUUCUUCGGAAUCUUGAGAGCGGCGUACGGGUGCGGAACACGUGUGCAACCUGCCUUUAUCAGGGGGAUAGCCUUUCGAAAGGAAGAUUAAUACCCCAUAAUAUAUUUGAUGGCAUCAUUAGAUAUUGAAAACUGAGGUGGAUAGAGAUGGGCACGCGCAAGAUUAGAUAGUUGGUGAGGUAACGGCUCACCAAGUCAAUGAUCUUUAGGGGGCCUGAGAGGGUGAUCCCCCACACUGGUACUGAGACACGGACCAGACUCCUACGGGAGGCAGCAGUGAGGAAUAUUGGACAAUGGGUGAGAGCCUGAUCCAGCCAUCCCGCGUGAAGGACGACGGCCCUAUGGGUUGUAAACUUCUUUUAUACUGGGAUAAACCUACUUACGUGUAAGUAGCUGAAGGUACAGUAUGAAUAAGCACCGGCUAACUCCGUGCCAGCAGCCGCGGUAAUACGGAGGGUGCAAGCGUUAUCCGGAUUUAUUGGGUUUAAAGGGUCCGUAGGCGGAUCUGUAAGUCAGUGGUGAAAUCUCAUAGCUUAACUAUGAAACUGCCAUUGAUACUGCAGGUCUUGAGUAAGGUAGAGGUAGCUGGAAUAAGUAGUGUAGCGGUGAAAUGCAUAGAUAUUACUUAGAACACCAAUUGCGAAGGCAGGUUACCAUGUCUUAACUGACGCUGAUGGACGAAAGCGUGGGGAGCGAACAGGAUUAGAUACCCUGGUAGUCCACGCCGUAAACGAUGCUAACUCGUUUUUGGGUUUUCGGAUUCAGAGACUAAGCGAAAGUGAUAAGUUAGCCACCUGGGGAGUACGUUCGCAAGAAUGAAACUCAAAGGAAUUGACGGGGGCCCGCACAAGCGGUGGAUUAUGUGGUUUAAUUCGAUGAUACGCGAGGAACCUUACCAAGGCUUAAAUGGGAAUUGACAGGCUUAGAAAUAGGCUUUUCUUCGGACAAUUUUCAAGGUGCUGCAUGGUUGUCGUCAGCUCGUGCCGUGAGGUGUUAGGUUAAGUCCUGCAACGAGCGCAACCCCUGUCACUAGUUGCUAACAUUCAGUUGAGGACUCUAGUGAGACUGCCUACGCAAGUAGAGAGGAAGGUGGGGAUGACGUCAAAUCAUCACGGCCCUUACGCCUUGGGCCACACACGUAAUACAAUGGCCGGUACAGAGGGCAGCUACCAGGUGACUGGAUGCGAAUCUCGAAAGCCGGUCUCAGUUCGGAUUGGAGUCUGCAACUCGACUCUAUGAAGCUGGAAUCGCUAGUAAUCGCGCAUCAGCCAUGGCGCGGUGAAUACGUUCCCGGGCCUUGUACACACCGCCCGUCAAGCCAUGGAAGUCUGGGGUACCUGAAGUCGGUGACCGUAACAGGAGCUGCCUAGGGUAAAACAGGUAACUAGGGCUAAGUCGUAACAAGGUAGCCGUACCGGAAGGUGCGGCUGGAACAUCUCAUUU
rnacentral:rRNA from 1 species